rnacentral:lncRNA from 1 species
CCGUGUAUGCCACGGCCGUUGAUCCCAAGAAGGGAAGUCUUGGAACAAUCGCACCCAUAGCGAUCGGUUUCAUCGUGGGCGCAAACAUUUUGGCCGGGGGGGCUUUCGACGGAGCCUCCAUGAACCCAGCAGUCUCCUUCGGUCCUGCAGUGGUGAGCUGGAGCUGGGACAACCACUGGGUGUACUGGGCAGGACCUCUGAUCGGCGGUGGGCUGGCUGGCCUCAUCUACGAUUUCUUCUUCAUCAGCCACAGCCACGAGCAGCUUCCAACCGCAGAUUACUGAGAGGGGAACUUGGUAGUGGGUUUGCAUUGCAUUUGCAUGGGUGGGAAUGAAAAGAAAGAAA